rnacentral:misc_RNA from 1 species
GUUUAAAGCUUUUUAAAACGUGUUUCCACGCUUCAGGUUUACAUUCAAUAGACAUACGAUUGGUUUGUGUGAUACAUAGGAAGAGCCCGAAGGCCCAACCUACAAAAGGUGCACAGGUGGUUGGUUUGGUUACGGGGCGUGCACAUGCCUUUCGGCCAGCUACAACCCCAGUUAAUUCAAUAAUGAUCCUUCCGCAGGUUCACCUACGGAAA